UUUCACUCUGCUCCAGGCAGGGUGGUUUGUACUGCUCCGCCCUGGGCAGGAGGAGAAGGAAGAGGGCCAGGCACCACGUGCCUGCACUCUCCCUGGAUGCUGGAGGCUGCUCCGCCGUGGGCAGGAGGAGAAGGAAGAGAACUGGGUGCCGCCUGCCUGCACUCUCUCCGGAUGCUGGAGGCUGGAGGCAGUGAGGCAGCAACAGCGCGAGGCGACUUUGGAGCUGCCUCAUAUAGCGACCUCGCCUUCCGCUGCGCCUCCUCCCAGAGCCCAAGAAGCCUGGAACCUGUGGGGUCCAGCGCUGAAAGGAGGAAACAGCAACCCAGCCGCGCUUUUGCCUGCACUCUCCCUGGAUGCUGGAGGCUGGAGGCAGUGAGGCAGCAACAGCGCGAGGCGACUUUGGAGCGGCCUCAUACAGCGACCUCGCCUUCCGCUGCGCGUCCUCCCAGAGCCCAAGAAGCCCGGAACCUGUGGCGUCCAGCUCUGAAAGGAGGAGACGGCAACCCAGCCGAGGCACCGCUGGGUUGGGGUCUCCACGACCAAGCUGGUCUCGGCAAGUGGCACCCAACAUGGGGCUCAAACCCGGUUUGAGGGGUUGCUGGAGCAAUGGAGAACAUGGAACUACACUGGAGGAUACCAGAGUACUCUUAAGCAAUCCCAUGGCCAAAACCAGCAGCUGAUUUGGAUAUCAUCAAGACACCUGAAAACUUGUCAUGAACCAGAUGCUGAGGAAGAGAUUUUGGGAGGAACCCAAGGACCCCCCAGUUGCAGCCAUGUCAAGACUGACAAUAAGGAAGACACCAGUCCUGGCAAGCAACACUCAUUGGGCACAGCCACCCAUGUGGGGCCAGAUCAAGAAGUUGACACAGAUGGUAGAAGAAAAUCUGAAGAAAGCGGGAUGACCAUUUACAAUGAGUAAUCUUAUGUCUGCAGAUGUGGAUCCCGAAUCCUGCGAGAAGUAGCCCACCAUGACAAAGCUGCUUUUGCUUUUAUCGCUUUGCAAAAACAGAAAGGGGGACAUGCUGGGAACAGGCCUUAAGCCUGUCAUAAACAGGCCUUAAACUGGCCAUGAACAGGAUUUCUGCACAAAUGUGACGUGCUCGUGAUGGCUAUGAUGCACACUCCUAGAAGUUGUUAGUUUACUGGAGCAGGGUAGGGAACAUCUGGCCCACCCAGAGCAGAAAACUGCUCAAACCACAAACAAUAUCAUGAGUGGCCUGUGCCUUAAGAACAUGUUUUUGCUGAAGAUAAUCAGCCAGAGACUGUUUCUCUGCUCCUCCCUAAUAAUGCUUUGUUUUUCAUAAGGAAUGCUUUUAGCUAAUCUGUAACCUAUAGAAACAAUGCUUAUCAUUGGCUUGCUGUCAAUAAACAUGUGGGUCAAACUCUGUUUGUGGCUCUCAGCUCUGAAAGCUGUUAUCCCCCUGAUUCCCACUUGCACUUUAUUUCUGUGUGUUUGUCUUCAUUCCUCUAGCACCACUGGGUUGGGGUCUCCAUGACCAAGUUGGUCUCGGCACAUAUCCAUGCAUGCCAGAUCUUGAAAUCAGCCUUGUGGAGCCUGUGGGUAGGAAAAGUCGACCCUCUGUGCAUGUAGGCCUGGAACCUGGCCGAUACUGUAUUUUCCUGCCACUUUUGGUUUCAAAAGUGGAAACUGUCUAUACAGACCCACUGCAUUUGUUUUUAAAAAUCCUCUGUAAGUGGACUUGCACAGUUCAGGCCCAGAUUGUUCCAGGAUCAACCCUACAGUAGAAAUCAAGUAUCUUUUUCAUUGUCUCUUGGGAUCUGUCUUUUCACCAAUAAAAUAUGAGGGCUGUUGGGAGCAGGCCUCCCAAAUCUGGCCAUAAACUGGCCCCAAAACUGGCCAUAAACAAAAUCUCUGCAGCACUGUAACAUGUUCAUAAUGGCCCUAACGCCCAAGCUGGAAGGUUGUGGGUUUACAGGAAUGAGGGCAAGGAACACCUGGCCCACCCAGGGUGGAAAACCACUUAAAGGCAUUCUUAAGCCACAAACAAUAGCAUGAGCAAUCUGUGCCUUAAGGACAUGCCCCUGCUGUAGUUAACUAGCCCAACCUAUUCCUUUAAUUUGGCCCAUCACUUCGUUUCCCAUAAGGGAUACUUUUAGUUAAUUUAAUAUCUAUAGAAACAAUGCCGAUGACUGGUUUGCUGUUAAUAAAUACAUGGGUAAAUCUCUGUUUGGGGCUCUCAGCUCUAAAGGCUGUGAGACCCCUGAUUUCCCACUUGACACCUCU
rnacentral:lncRNA from 1 species